CAGAAAAUGGCUGCAAGCAGGAACCAAAGGCCGGGUCUGGAUCCUGGGAGCCACACUGUUGCAGCAGGAGAGGUACACUUUGUAAGAGCAAUACUGGACCUGAAGCAGAGCAGCAGUAUUCCACCCAUGUUGACAGCAUUGUCCAGUCGAGAGGGCACUGGGCCAGCAGGUAGUCCCGUUCUGCCAUUGACCAGCUGUGUGACCUGGGGGUACCUGGCAUUGGCCACUGUCAGAAGACAGGAUACUGGACUAGAUGGACCUUUGGCCUGACCCAGUAUGGACGUUCUUAUUUUCUUAGGGCAAGGACCUUGAAUCUGAUAUGAUGAGAAACAGGGAGCCAGUACAAAGAAACAAAAAAGGGCAUGACAUGGUCAGAGUGACAGGGAAGGAAGGCUAUUUUAGUGGCUGCAAUUUAUACAGGUGUGUGUAUUCUUCCAGUACAAAAGGGCAGCUUUUUAUGUUUUUAAUUAGUCUGCCAGUGUGCAUCAUUUUGUUACCCUUUGGAGGACUGCAGUGACAUUUUAACAGAAGGCACAUAAACUUCCUAUGAUGCGUGGUCUUUGUUGCAAUAUAAAUUAAAAAUUAUGCCAUAUAUAACUCCAGAGAUUUCAAAAAUUUAUUGAGUCAGAUGUAGAACAUGUACAUCCUACCAUGUGCUAGUCUAAAGCAAUCCUUCUCAUCUUGCUGAAUAACCAUCACACGAUUUGAGUAAACUUCAGGAUUUUUUGCUAGAUAUUAACGUCUAUUUACAUAGUGUAAAUAUUGUAGAAAAAUGCUAUUAUUUAUUAAGUUAUAUCUUACCUACUAUUAAAACA